rnacentral:rRNA from 1 species
GAUGGAGGGGAGCGGCAGACGGGAGAGUAACACGUGGGAACGUACCCUUUGGUUCGGAACAACCCAGGGAAACUUGGGCUAAUACAGAAUAAGCCCUUACGGGGAAAGAUUUAUCGCCGAAGGAUCGGCCCGCGUCUGAUUAGCUAGUUGGUGAGGUAACGGCUCACCAAGGCGACGAUCAGUAGCUGGUCUGAGAGGAUGAUCAGCCUCACUGGGACUGAGACACGGCCCAGACUCCUACGGGAGGCAGCAGUGGGGAAUAUUGGACAAUGGGCGCAAGCCUGAUCCAGCCAUGCCGCGUGGGUGAUGAAGGCCCUAGGG